GGGUGGUGGCUCACGCCUGUAAUCCCAGCACUUUGGGAGGCCGAGGUGAAUGAAUCACCUGAGGUUAGGAGUUCAAGACCAGCCUGGCCAACAUGGUGAAACCCCCGCCUCUACUAAAAAUACAAAAAAAAAUUAGCCAGCAUGGUGGCACAUACCUGUAAUCCCAGCUACUCAGGAGGCUGAGGCAGGAGAAUUGCUUGAACCCAGGAGGCGGAGGUUACAGUGAGCCAAGAUCACACCUUUGCACUCCAGCCUGGGUGACAAGAGUGAAACACCUUCUCAAAAAAAAGCAAAAAAAAAAAAAAGAGAGAGAGAGAGAGAGAAAGGAAAAUGGCAGAGUUUCUGGAAAGAGAAAAAAAAAUUGCGAGUAGUGGGAAACAGGAGUGUUCAUUGAACCUGGGAUGUGAAUGUUGAAAUUAAGACACACACAUGCCCUCAGCGCUUGCCUCUACGCCCUCUGCAUCCAGGAUCCAGAAGAUGCAUAGUUAGUAGGUCCCUCUCCAAGGAAGCUGACCAACCAGGAAUAAAGAUUUUUUUUUUUCGAGACAGUCUUGCUCUGUCAUCCAGGCCAGAGUGCAGGGGCACCAUCUCGACUCACUGCAACCUCUGCCUCCUUUUAGUAGAGACAAGGUUUCUCCAUGUUGGCCACGCUGGUCUUGAACUCCUGACCUCAAGUGAUCCACCCACCUCAGGCUCCCAAAAUGCUGGAAUUAUACACAUAAGCCACCGCACCAGGCCAGGAAUAAAGAUUUAAAGAUACUGAUGCAGCUAGGCAUGGUACCUCAUGCCUGUAGUCCCAGCUACUCAAGAGGCUGAGGUGGGAGGACUGCUUCAGCCUAGGAGGUCAAGGCUGCAGUGAGGUAUGAUUGCACCACUGCACUCCAGCCUGGGGAACAGAGCAAGAUCCUAUCUUUAAAAAAUAAAUAAAAAGGCCGGGCGCGAAAGAAAUAUAGCAUAAAGGUUAAGAGCACUCUAGGCCAGGCAUGAUGGCUCACACCUGUAAUCCCUACACAUUGGGAGGCCGAGGCAGGCAGAUCCCUUGAGGCCAGGAGUUCAAGACCAGCCUGGCCAACAUGGUGAAACCCCGUCUCUACUAAAAAUACAAAAAUUAAUUGGCCGGGCGCGGUGGCUCACGCCUGUAAUCCCAGCACUUUGGGAGGCCGAGGCGGGUGGAUCACGAGGUCAGGAGAUCGAGACCAUCCUGGCUAACACGGUGAAACCCCGUCUCUACUAAAAAUACAAAAAAUUAGCCGGGCAAGGUGGCAGGCGCCUGUAGUCCCAGCUACAAGGGAGGCUGAGGCAGGAGAAUGGCGUGAACCCCGGGGGGCAGAGCCUGCAGUGAGCCGAGAUCGCGCCACUGCACUCCAGCCUGGGUGAAAGAGCGAGACUCUGUCUCAAAAAAAAAAAAUAAUAAAAAAUAAAAAAUAAAAAAAUAAUAAAAAUACAAAAAUUAGAUGGGAGUGGUGGUGGAAGCCUGUAAUCCCAGCUACUUGGGAGGCUGAGGCAGGAGAAUUGCUUGAACCUGGGAGGUGGAGGUUGCAGUGAGCCAAGAUCACGCCACUGCUCUCCAGCCUGGGCAACAGAGCAAGACUCUGUCUCAAAAAAAAAAUUUAAUAAAUUUUUAAAAGAUUUAAAGAUACGGAUGCCACUGGGCAUGGUGGCUCAUGCCUGUAGUCCCAGCUACUCAGGAGGCUGAGUUGGAAGACCACUUGAAACCAGAAGAUUGAGGCUGCAGUGAGCUAGGAUCGCACCACUGCACUCUAGCCUGGGUGACAGAGUGAGACGCUAUCUCAAAAAAAAAAAAAAAAAGGAAAA